AUUGAACGCUGGCGGCAGGCUUAACACAUGCAAGUCGAGCGGAGCGAGGGUGCUUGCACCUUAGCUUAGCGGCGGACGGGUGAGUAAUGCUUAGGAAUCUGCCUAUUAGUGGGGGACAACAUUCCGAAAGGAAUGCUAAUACCGCAUACGCCCUACGGGGGAAGGCAGGGGAUCUUCGGACCUUGCGCUAAUAGAUGAGCCUAAGUCGGAUUAGCUAGUUGGUGGGGUAAAGGCCUACCAAGGCGACGAUCUGUAGCGGGUCUGAGAGGAUGAUCCGCCACACUGGGCCUGAGACACGGCCCAGACUCCUACGGGAGGCAGCAGUGGGGAAGAUUGGACAAUGGGCGGAAGCCUGAUCCAGCCAUGCCGCGUGUGUGAAGAAGGCCUUUUGGUUGUAAAGCACUUUAAGCGAGGAGGAGGCUACUUAGAUUAAUACUCUGGGAUAGUGGACGUUACUCGCAGAAUAAGCACCGGCUAACUCUGUGCCAGCCGCCGCAGUAAGAC
rnacentral:rRNA from 1 species